UACGUAGGAUGCAAGCGUUGUCCGGAUUUAUUGGGUUUAAAGGGUGCGUAGGUGGGUCUGUAAGUCCGUGGUGAAAUCUCCGAGCUUAACUUGGAAACUGCCAUGGAUACUAUAGGUCUUGAAUACUGUGGAGGUCAGCGGAAUAUGUCAUGUAGCGGUGAAAUGCUUAGAUAUGACAUAGAACACCAAUUGCGAAGGCAGCUGGCUACACAAAUAUUGACACUGAGGCACGAAAGCGUGGGGGAUCAAAACAGG
rnacentral:rRNA from 1 species